GAGUUUGAUCAUGGCUCAGAUUGAACGCUGGCGGCAUGCCUUACACAUGCAAGUCGAACGGCAGCACGGGAGCUUGCUCCUGGGUGGCGAGUGGCGAACGGGUGAGUAAUGCAUCGGUACGUAUCCUGGAGUGGGGGAUAACGUAGCGAAAGUUACGCUAAUACCGCAUAUUCUGUGAGCAGGAAAGCGGGGGACCUUCGGGCCUCGCGCUCUUGGAGCGGCCGAUGUCGGAUUAGCUAGUUGGUGAGGUAAAGGCUCACCAAGGCGACGAUCCGUAGCAGGUCUGAGAGGAUGAUCUGCCACACUGGAACUGAGACACGGUCCAGACUCCUACGGGAGGCAGCAGUGGGGAAUUUUGGACAAUGGGGGCAACCCUGAUCCAGCCAUGCCGCGUGAGUGAAGAAGGCC
rnacentral:rRNA from 1 species